GUCAGAAUCACUAAAUAUGCAAAAUCUCUGUUGAGUGUGUGUGCAUAUUAUUAUUUUGUAAUGUAGCAAUGAAGUUCUAUGCAUGCCAAGGAAGACUGUGUCCUGUUUGAUAGGCAAAAAUAUUUCCCCUGCAGUAUGUGCCCACCUCCUGCUAGUUACAUAUAUCAGAAAUGAUUGGUAAGUGCCAUUCAAACUUUACAUCUUUUUCCUUGUCGCCUCUAGAAAUGUCACCAUAACCAAAGGUUAGCAAAGUACUGUUUCCUUUGUUGUAAUUAGAGCUGUACUAAUCUCAAGUUGUAACUCAACAGGUACAGAAGAGAUCUGUUCUUUCAAGAACUGUUAGGAAUGGACAAGCAAAGACUCGUCAAUCCACACCCCAAUCCUGAGCAGCCUGGGUCUAAAAGGAAAAGCAAACAACUCUCGCCAUGUUUCCAUCUCCAAGACGACCCUUGAGAGUGUCCCCAAACCAAUCGCCGCCCCAACGCUUCAGCGCAGUGCUUGUACUCCAAGCCGGAGGCCGCUUGUCCAAGGA
rnacentral:lncRNA from 1 species